AUUGAACGCUGGCGGCAGGCUUAACACAUGCAAGUCGGACGAGCGGCGGACGGGUGCGUAAUGCAUGGGGAUCUGGCUGAUGGAGGGGGAUAACUCCUGGACACGGUAGCUAAUACCGCAUACCAUCAGAUGAACCCAUAUGGGAUUAGGUCGUAGGUGAGGUAACGGCUCACCAAGCCGACGAUCGCUAGCUGGUCUGAGAGGAUGACCAGCCACACUGGGACUGAGACACGGCCCAGACUCCUACGGGAGGCAGCAGUGGGGAAUAUUGCACAAUGGGCGCAAGCCUGAUGCAGCCAUGCCGCGUGUAUGAAGAAGGCCUUCGGGUUGUAAAGUACUUUCAGUAGGGAGGCGUUACCGACAGAAGAAGCACCGGCUAACUCCGUGCCAGCAGCCGCGGUAAUAC
rnacentral:rRNA from 1 species